rnacentral:rRNA from 1 species
AAUAGAUACCCCGGUAGUCCAUGCCGUAAACGUUGGGCGCUAGAUGUGGGGACCAUUCCACGGUUUCCGUGUCGCAGCUAACGCAUUAAGCGCCCCGCCUGGGGAGUACGGCCGCAAGGCUAAAACUCAAAGGAAUUGACGGGGGCCCGCACAAGCAGCGGAGCAUGCGGAUUAAUUCGAUGCAACGCGAAGAACCUUACCAAGGCUUGACAUAUACGAGAACGCUCUAGAAAUAGAGAACUCUUUGGACACUCGUAUACAGGUGGUGCAUGGUUGUCGUCAGCUCGUGUCGUGAGAUGUUGGGUUAAGUCCCGCAACGAGCGCAACCCUCGUUCUAUGUUGCCAGCGGUUCGGCCGGGAACUCAUAGGAGACUGCCGGGGUCAACUCGGAGGAAGGUGGGGAUGACGUCAAAUCAUCAUGCCCCUUAUGUCUUGGGCUUCACGCAUGCUACAAUGGCCGGUACAAAGGGCUGCGAACCCGCGAGGGGAGCUAAUCCCAAAAAGCCGUCUCAGUUCGGAUUGCACU